rnacentral:rRNA from 1 species
GAUGAACGCUGGCGGCGUGCCUAAUACAUGCAAGUCGAGCGAACGGACGAGAAGCUUGCUUCUCUGAUGUUAUCGGCGGACGGGUGAGUAACACGUGGAUAACCUACCUAUAAGACUGGGAUAACUUCGGGAAACCGGAGCUAAUACCGGAUAAUAUUUUGAACCGCAUGGUUCAAAAGUGAAAGACGGUCUUGCUGUCACUUAUAGAUUGAUCCGCGCUGCAUUAGCUAGUUGGUAAGGUAACGGCUUACCAAGGCAACGAUGCAUAGCCGACCUGAGAGGGUGAUCGGCCACACUGGAACUGAGACACGGUCCAGACUCCUACGGGAGGCAGCAGUAGGGAAUCUUCCGCAAUGGGCGAAAGCCUGACGGAGCAACGCCGCGUGAGUGAUGAAGGUCUUCGGAUCGUAAAACUCUGUUAUUAGGGAAGAACAUAUGUGUAAGUAACUGUGCACAUCUUGACGGUACCUAAUCAGAAAGCCACGGCUAACUACGUG